rnacentral:rRNA from 1 species
AUGGUGGAACCACGCGCCGGCGCCGGCGCCGCCGCAGCCCCCUCCCCCGCCGCGACCGUCGCACCCCCCUCCCCCAACCAGGGCACCACCGCCGGCGCGAGGAAGCGGAAGGCCCCGGCGACGGAGAAGGCUCCGAGGAAGCCCCGCAAGCGGCAGGUUGAAGAACCGAUUCAGAUCCCUGUGUACUACGGGUGCAGAAAAGGUGAUUUUUCAAGCGUGCACGGCGAUGAUUUAGUUCAAGAUUGCCCAGCCAUUUAUGCAGAAAACAUAUGUGCGCACAUAAUCGGCGAGCUGCCGCUGCAGCCACAGUCGAUGUCACUGGUGGAUCUACAGCUCUGGGUCUUCAAGCUGUUCAGGCUCCAUCCAGAAACACAAGAUCUCCAUAUUAAGGGGUUCCUCAAACAGCGCAAGAAUGACCCGUAUGACGAAGAGGAUCCGGACUGGUAUUUGGAGUACUACCAGUGGGACACCCAUGAAUUUUAUUCCGACAAAUACUGGAGAUCCUUUGCCAACAGAUUGAAGAAAAAGAGAAAUGUGACACAGAAGUUCAUGUUGUACGUGGAAUCCUCUGAGAUCAGGCACUAUGACAUAUUGCGCAAAGCCAUAGGUGAUGGUUACUCUCAACAGCUGCCGCUUGUGUUGCCUGGGACAGAAAGCCUGACAAGGUGUGAAUUCAGCUUCCGGUACCUUAAGGAACACCUGGCAGUUACUGCUGAGGAAAUGGCAGUUUAUCUCACUGGUCACAAUGGCGAGCAUGUUACUCCCGCCGAGGCGUGGAGGGCAAGACAGAUGGCUCUGGAGAAGGAAUUCGGUACCUUUUAUGAUUCAUACAACUUUGCCCCGAGGUUACUCAAGGAAAUAGCACGUAAAAACCCUGGUGGUUUUGUAGACAUCAAGGAUGCAGAGGUUUCAGGGUGUAAGGAUUUUCGAGUCCUCCACCGUAUAUUUUGGGCGUUUGGACAAUGCUUACAGGCCUUCGGUGCCUGUCGCCCUGUGCUGUGCAUUAAAGGCGCACCCCUAUGCGGGAAAUAUCAAGGGGUGCUGUUGACAGCUGUAGCAUUAGAUGCUAAUGAUUUCUCCAUUCCAGUAGCAUUUGCCAUCGUCGAGUGCGAGACAAAGGAAAGCUGGCUGUGGUUUCUUAGGAAUCUGGAGCGAGCAGUGGUUGAUCAAGCUGAUGUCUGCAUUAUACACGACUACAAAAAGGAGUUGAUCGACGCUGUGGAGGAUCUUCUGAAUUCCCGUCGACGACAAGGGCUGAAAGCAGAAAGCCGGUGGUGCAUGGAACACCUUGCUGAAAACUUCUAUGCAUAUUUUGGCGACAAGAACCUGGUGAUGAUGUUCAAGAAACUUUGUCAACAGAAGCGACAACAUACGUUUGAUAAACUCUGGAAGGAGCUCGACGAGUUGACAUCCAAAUAUAUGACAGAAAGAAUUUGGUGCUAG